rnacentral:rRNA from 1 species
UACGUAGGGUCCGAGCGUUGUCCGGAAUUACUGGGCGUAAAGGGCUCGUAGGCGGCCAACUAAGUCAGACGUGAAAUCCCUCGGCUUAACCGGGGAACUGCGUCUGAUACUGGAUGGCUUGAGUGUAGGAGAGGGAUGCGGAAUUCCAGGUGUAGCGGUGAAAUGCGUAGAUAUCUGGAGGAACACCGGUGGCGAAGGCGGCAUCCUGGACUACUACUGACGCUGAGUGAGCGAAAGCCAGGGGAGCAAACGGG